rnacentral:rRNA from 1 species
UACAGAGGUCUCAAGCGUUGUUCGGAAUCACUGGGCGUAAAGGGUGCGUAGGCGGCAUAGAAAGUCAGAUGUGAAAUCCGGGGGCUCAACCUCCGAAUUGCAUCCGAUACUCCUAUGCUAGAGGACUGGAGAGGAGUCUGGAAUUCUCGGUGUAGCAGUGAAAUGCAUAGAUAUCGAGAGGAACACUAGUGGCGAAAGCGAGACUCUGGACAGUAACUGACGCUGAUGCACGAAGGUCAGGGUAGCGAACGGG